GUGGAGCAGGUCAAGUCCAGCUCUCAGCAGGUGGAACAGCUUCAGCUCAGCAACUUCAGGUCACUCUGGACCACUCAGUGUGAUGGACAUACUCAACCUGUGGAAUGAUGACCCGGAAGAGGUUCUCUUGGACCUGGGCUUUGGCUGUGAUGAACCUGACCUCUCUGGACGCAUUCCAGCUCGAUUCAUCAAUCAUCAGUCUCAAGCGAGGGGAAUAAACCUCCAGGUGUUUCUGGAGGCCCAGAAGAACCGGCUGGACCUUGAGAAUCCAGAUGUCAGCAGUAAGCCUACAUUUUACCACUAUGAUCUGUGAUAUAUGUGAGUUAUGUAUGACAAUGUUUCGUCAUUUGUCGUUACAUACUGAUGGCAGAGGCUGCAAUGCAAGCAAAUUGCUCGUCAGAAACUAACUAACCAAUUCACACACAGUCCCUCACUCGCAUUGGGAGAAACUUAGGGUUUAGUGUCUUGCUCAAGGACACAACAUGCAGCGCGGGUCGAACCUUUUGAUUAGUGGACAUCUUGAGCCCAUGGUUUGAUAUUCUCUGUGACAACUGGUGUAUCAGUGAAUCAGUGACCUGUUCCAUGACUAUCAACAGAUCUGUAUGGAAGCCCAUUUCCGCCAGUGUGAUGAAAAAACGGAUCUUGUAAUUAUUUCUUUAAUAAACUUUCUCAAAAUAAUGACUUAGUAACUUUCUCAAAAUCCUGGAAAACUUUCUUAAUAUAGUGAUAAUAAUAAUAAUAAUAAUACAUACAGGAUCUUUUUUCAUCACAUUGAUGUAGAAAUGGGCUGCAUACUGUACCUGUUACAAAUUUGUUGACAAACUUUUUACUUGUAACCUCUCUUCUCCACUCUCUCCUUCAGAUCGUUUUCGACAGCUCGAGGUUCUCCAGCAGGUAACUACAGCAUUCUCUUCCUUAAUGGGGUCAUCCUGCACCCCUCUCAGAGCACCACAUGGGAAAGACCUGCCUCCUGAGGCCUGGGAGAGGAGGAGGCGUAUGGGCAUGCUGUUCAGAAGAGCAUCAAAGAAGUCACUCAGCCAAAUCCACAACAAUAAAACGCACGACCCAGGUGCUACACCUGAGUCACUGCAAUCUCCACUUAGCCUUGGAGACAAGAAAUUCCCCUUGAAAAGAGUCAAACCUGGACUUCAGGAGAUUGUGUGUCUGAGUCCUCUGGCAGAGGAGCAAGGAGCUGGGCCAGACCCUCAGUCCAAGUCUGACGUGGCUUCUUUAAUAGCCAAGGAAGGAGCACACAGACCCUGGCCACUGAAGGAAGGUCACCCUGUGACAACCAGCACUUUUUCACAGAGAAAGAAGAGCCCAGGGAAGGCCAGGGAAUCAUUUGAAAUGGAAGAGAUCCACAGUUUUGAUGAAAGUAGUGUCACAGGGAGCUACAUAGGAGGAGCAGAACAUUUAGCACAGGGUGUAAUUCGGACCAACAGCUGCCAGUCAGACAGCAGUGGCUUUCUAGAAGAGCUCUUCAUUCCCUCUCUCUCUCAGCAGGCGUCACCAGGAUCUGAUCUCAUCAAGGCUCUGUCAGGCCUAUCAGGAGGGAGCACUGACAGCCAAAGCAGUGAGAAGCCAGGCCCCCGGUCUCAGUUUUCACCACCUCCCUUCUGCUCCUCAUCUCCUAUCUCUUCUGGUGUUGACAAAUCGCCGUGUCCUUCACCAGAGCCUUCUUUAGUUUUUUACCCACCCCUUCCUCCUGUCUUGUUGUGUUUCCCAAAAUCUGACAUGCAAAUUUCAGAGAUGGCGAAACUACCAGAUCAGGAUCCUCCUUGCUCUUCCUCACCCAAGAUACAGGACGUAACUCCCUUCCAGUAUCCAACUCUCCCUUCUGCUACCUCUCUUCCCCCUACAUCUUCCCCCAUACAGCCUGCCUCAUUGAGUAGAGGGUUAGAGGAUAUUAAAACUGAGGACGAGGAUCCUCCAUCCCCCUACCUCUCUAUACUUUCACAUGACUCUGAAGGUACAACAUGCUCUACCUUUUCCAAUGUCCCUCCUCCUGCCUCAUCUCCUUCUCCCACUCCAAAUUUGAAUGGUCAGUUUUCUGCCUCAAUGUCUAUGUCUUCUACACAGUCUGACUCCUCUUCUGGGAGUCCAGGGAACACACAGUCAGAACAGACUUAUUUACCUCCAACUACCCUUCCUGAUUUUCAUUGUCUAUCCUCUUUAUCUUCUCCUCCACUUAUUCAGUCCCUCUCACAGAGAGAAAACAAUCAAAAAGAUUCCUUUUUCCCAGACUCAAGUGGAUUAGGCCUCUCUGAUCCACUUGCCAAUGCAGAGAAAGAGGAAGAAACACCCUCCUCUUCAUGUUCUCAGUUGGACAAGGACAAUCCCUUAGUUCCACCCUCUCUUUUUCUGGACUCCUCUAAGUCUGAGAUGGGUUGUGCCACACUGCCCUGCCUAUUUCCUAAUCCUCCCAUUCCAGUUUGUCCAUCUGCCUUGUCAUCACAGUUGCAUGAUCCAGAUGUUCUUGUAGAUCCAGCUGUUGGCAGAAUUUCAGACCUGACAGAGCAGUCCAUCUCGCAACAGGACAGAUCGUGUUUUCAUGAAGAUGACAAAAGCCCUUCUUCAGCCUCUCCUGUCCAAGAUGUUAUACAUGUUAAGACGGAUCAGUUCUGUCUGGACUCAGAGGAUACCCUUCAGAGGAAUAGGAAGGGAGAGAUAGAGGGUGAGAGACAUACUGACACUGUCCAGACUCGAAUGGCUGUUGUUUACGACUCAGAUACAGAGAGUUCUGCGGGUCUGUCAGAAGGUUUUAGAUUAAUCUCUAAGGAAGAAUGUAACCAAACAGUAAUAGAUCCACAGGUCCUUUCCUGUGGUUUGCAUGAUGAGAUUUCAACUGAAACCAAACUGGAAGAGUUAAGAAAAGUCUGUCAGAUGAAAAUGAAUGACACAGAAAUUGAAUCACCUAGAGGUUCUUUAGUUUUACGUGAUGAAGUUCCAGAGGCACACAGCAGAACUAAAGUUGAACCAAAGGAUCUAAUUGAGAUUGACAGCUUAGAUCUGGUAUUUCAAUCCUCAGUGGAUGGCUCAGAAGGUGAAAACGGAGAUGUGGAUGCCUUUUUUCAGCAACUUGAUACUGAAGGGCGAGCCUAUUGGGCAGAACCCAUCCAGGUUUCCAGUGCAACUCCGGUGGAGUCAGGCAGCUUUGAAGCCUCAGAUGGAUCUCAUGGGAAUUCUCUCUUGCCUAGAGUCCCAGCUGCUCUAGAUUCAUUUUCAUCCAUGGGCCAAGCUAUCCCCUCAUCUUCAUCCUUAGCAUCAAUAAAUACUGACCAGACCUCUAGAAAUGCAACCGCCUCAUCAGAUACACCCUCCCCCUUGACUCUAACCACCUUUCCAUCCCCAUCUGCAACCCCAGACGUCAAACCAUCAAUCUGCUCUGUUUCUGUCCAGAUGUCUUCAUCUCCAUCUUCUCAUAUUAUCCACAGGAAGGAUAUUCCGUAUGUGACUGACUCAAAACACACCCUUCUCCCUAGUGUUCUCCCUUUGGACACUUCCACACCCUUUCGUGCUGUCCAGUCAUGGACAGACCUACAGAUUCAACGAAACACUCUCACCAAGAAGCUAUCAUACGAGGCUUUUAAUGCAGUCCCAAGCCAGGUGUCUGUAUCCAUGAGUGCCUUAGAAACAAUGCAUAGACCUACAGUGGUCUUCUCUUCAUCUCCAGUUUUCCCUCUGCUGUGUAAUGACCGGCAGCCACAGGACUGUCAUCCUGUGGUGGCUAGAAGCAACCGUACUGUGUCAGUCUCUGCCGAUAAAGGGCAGUGGUCAGAUGAGGAGGAAGAAGUGGACAGGAAUGGAAAUGAAGAUGAGGGGAAGCUUUGGGAGGGCAACCAGACAGCCACCAUGGAAUACCAAUGCUCCUGUGACCAUCAGUGUCACUGCUGUACUCAGAAGAGUUAUGAAAAGCGAUACCUUUUGGGAAACAUUCCUUACUCUCUGGAUGAGUUGGAGGAGAUGAUGCUGUGUCUGCAGCAGUUUUGCUCUGUGCUCAACAACAUGGAGGAGCAGCUAUCUGAAGACCAGGCUGCAGUUUACAGUGCUCUCUCUGACCAGGACAGGGAGAAGGUUCGGGACAUAGAGGAGCUGAGGCGAGCAGUGAAACAGGAGGUUGCAGAGCUGGAGAUGCAGUUGAAUGACCUAGCCCAUCACUACGAUGACAGCCUGAAAAUGAAGAUGCACAGACUGUUGGAUGAGCAGUCUCUGCUCUGCUCUCAACUAAGAGUCUUUCUACCUGGUGCGGCACCCACAUCAUUGAGCCCCGCCCCCAACAGGACAGUGGCCACUCAGUGCAGUCUGCUGCCCUGGAUCUCUCUGACUGAAGUGCAGAGUGGCCACAUCACCUGCAAUGUGGACUCCCCCAGACAGUCCCCUCCUGGAUCAGAGAGCAUCUGUGAGGGCCUUGGCUGUUCUCCCGCAAAGGCAGACAAGCUGGACAUAGUGGGCUUCCUCCAGAGAUUGAAGGAGUCCUUGCGUCAGUCUGUGAACACUGACUCGUUGGAAUAA
ensembl:lncRNA